rnacentral:lncRNA from 1 species
CUUGGGAGUGAAGACCGGUUUGCCAUACAUUUACCACAGCAAAGCUAGCAACCCGUUUGUGAACCUGAAGAAGGAGUACAAGGGAAUCUUCUGGCAGGAGGAGAUCAUUCCUUUCUUCCAGAAUGCGAAGCUAUCAAAAGAAGCAGUAACUGUUCAACAAUGCUACAUUGAGCUCUCGAAGAUGGUGAAGGAGAAGCUGAGCUCCUUAGACCCAUACUUUGACAAGCUUGCAGACGCCAUGGUCACAUGGAUUGAAGCUUGGGAUGAGCUUAACCCGCCAACUGCUGCAGCAGCCAAUGGCAAAGCUUGAGCAGUACCUGAGCCAAGAAAAAAAAAACCACCACAGUUUUGGUUGUUUUAGCUCAAAUUAUCAUUUUAUGUGCUUUCUUGUAGUUGUUUAUCAUUAUCAAUACUUUCUCAUUG